rnacentral:tRNA from 1 species
GGUAAAAUGGCUGAGAUAAGGCAUUAGACUGUAAAUCUAAUAACAGAGGGUAGCCUCUUUUUACCA